AGGCACUGUAGUAGUGACUGGACCUGUGGGACCUCGCGGCAGAGGCACAGACCUUGAUUCAGUCACCGCCAUGGUACCAGAGGUAAGGCAGCAGUCAGCUGUGGCUAUGGCACACGGAGGCAGCUGCGGACAUUAUUGAAACAUCUUUUGAAGUGGGACUUGGGUCUGCAGGAAGGGCAAAGGGAGUAGGACUGGGGAGGGGACGAGGAGAGAGCCGGGGUGGGCAGGAUGGCAGCAGAGGGACCAGGCAAGGGCUGUGGUAAGGGGUUGUGGCAGCUGCUUUUGCGGAGGCGGUGGUAGGCGACAGCUGACGUGUACAGAGGAGGGGGAAGGCUGGCUACCCAAAGGGCACCCACAGCAAAAAAAAGGGGGAUCCUGGGCACCCAGGAGCCUGGGAAAUUGGUGCCUAUGAUAUGUUGAUCUAUCCAUCCGUGCCUGAUAAUAGAGCAUCCAGUUCUGUAUAAUCCCUUGCAAUAUUGCUUUUUUUAAAAAGAAAGAAAAAAAGAAAACCGUUCAGUCUACCUAAACAUAGAAUCAGAGAAUCAUAGAAUCAUAGAAUCAUAGAGUUGGAAGAGACCACAAGGGCCAUCGAGUCCAACCCCCUGCCAAGCAGGAAACACAACACCAUCAGAGCACUCCUGACAUAUGGUUGUCAAGCCUCUGCUUAAAGACCUCCAAAGAAGGAGACUCCACCACACUCCUUGGCAGCAAAUUCCACUGUCGAACAGCUCUUACUGUCAGGAAGUUCUUCCUAAUGUUUAGGUGGAAUCUUCUUUCUUGUAGUUUGGAUCCAUUGCUCCGUGUCCGCUUCUCUGGAGCAGCAGAAAACAACCUUUCUCCCUCCUCUAUGUGACAUCCUUUUAUAUAUUUGAACAUGGCUAUCAUAUCACCCCUUAACCUCCUCUUCUCCAGGCUAAACAUGCCCAGCUCCCUUAGCCGUUCCUCAUAAGGCAUCGUUUCCAGGCCUUUGACCAUUUUGGUUGCCCUCCUCUGGACACGUUCCAGUUUGUCAGUGUCCUUCUUGAACUGUGGUGCCCAGAACUGGACACAGUACUCCAGGUGACUUUUGAGGUCCAGUUCUUAAGGAAGGCAAGCCAUAAUUGACAAAUCCUAUCUUUAUCAGUUAACACCCCGUAUUAGAUCCAAAAUCAGCACAUGCCAGCCACAAAUGGCAAGCACAAUGAGAAAAUCAACACAGUGGGUACAGUUGAUGGCAACCAGAGGGUCUAAUAUAAUCUUAUCAACACAUCAUAAAACCUUAAAAUCACCUUUUCAAUCCAAAUUAUUUAAAUUAAAAUUGAAAGUCUAUUAUGAACCACCCUCCUUUCCCUCCUGCUGGGUUUCAUCUGCACAUUCAAUAGAAAAGCCGAGCGACUGAUUUUUAAAAUCAGCUUUUGGAAGUAAAAGGCUACAUCGGAGAAAGCAAAGCAGUCUACCUACAAAUUGUUGGGACACUGGGGUAUUUCGUUAAGAAAUAACACCCCCUGUAAGGUUGCCUGAAUGCAAUCUCCAAGAGUCAGAUUGCCAUUUGAUAACUUGGCCCCUCCUGCUGGGAAGAUUGACAGCUCUCAAUGUGUUAUGGGGAUAGAUGGUAGCAAGUCCAGGCUUACUUAUACACACACACACUUGCUUUGCUUUCUUAUUAUUCUUUUUAAUCCAACUGCAGUUUCCAGGUCUCAUCUUUAAGGCCUCAUAAUACAGUUCAGCUUGAAACCACACAGUCUAAUUUAAUCAAGCAACCUCUGGAAGAAUAAGAAAGUUAUGCUAUUUUAUUUUUUAAAAAUUAAAGUGUAUUUAAAAUGGAAAUUUCACUUUGUGCCAGAAUCCCUCGACCCUAUUUUAUGAGUAACUUACUCAACAAUUUUAAUCUUUAUUUUUAAAUGGAGGACUAAAAUGGUUCGUUAAUGUGCAAUAGGCUCAUCAGGAAAGGGUCAGGCAAAAAAUCAGUCCUGGGAACAGAGGUAGACAAAACUAUUAAGAACUACAGAGAAAAUAGAGCUAAAAUUACAUUUCUGCAAAUAAAGUUUUUGAAUAUUAAAGUCUGGACAUUGGUUUAAUUUCCAAAUAAAUAUGAUUUGAGCUUUUUAGCUGUGUUUUCACUACCCUUACUUCAAAAUAUGUGAUGCAGGCCAAUUAGUGUCACCCCAAAAAAUUCCUGCUCAGUCCCCUCAGAGAAAGCAACUAGAAGCCUGCAGUGGAAAAGGGGUGGGAGGGUCAGAGUCUGAAUGUGAAAACCUGGAGUACUGUGUCCAGUUCUGGGCACCACAGUUCAAGAAGGACACUGACAAACUGGAACGUGUCCAGAGGAGGGCAACCAAAAUGGUCAAAGGCCUGGAAACGAUGCCUUAUGAGGAACGGCUAAGGGAGCUGGGCAUGUUUAGCCUGGAGAAGAGGAGGCUAAGGGGUGAUAUGAUAGCCAUGUUCAAAUAUAUAAAAGGAUGUCACAUAGAGGAGGGAGAAAGGUUGUUUUCUGCUGCUCCAGAGAAGCGGACACAGAGUAAUGGAUCCAAACUACAAGAAGGAAGAUUCCACCUAAACAUUAGGAAGAACUUCCUGACAGUAAGAGCUGUUUGACAGUGGAAUUUGCUGCCAAGGAGUGUGGUGGAGUCUCCUUCUUUGGAGGUCUUUAAGCAGAGGCUUGACAACCAUAUGUCAGGAGUGCUCUGAUGGUGUUUCCUGCUUGGCAGGGGGUUGGACUCGAUGGCCCUUGUGGUCUCUUCCAACUCUAUGAUUCUAAAACCGGAGAGUGCUGUGUGGAGUGGGCUUAAAUAGCCUGAUCUCUACUUCUCCCCUAAAUGACCAGUUGCCCCAUGUGGUUGAGGGAGAGGGAGAGGGAGAGGGAGAGGGAGAGGGAGGGAGAGAGAGAGAGAGAGAGAGAGAGAGAGAGAGUUUACAGUAUGUAAUACCCCUUGUACUUUAUUUCUAACUUGUACAAUUUCAAAAUAUGGAUAUGCAUUGCAUCUUUCUGAUAUCAUUCAGAAACUUUUGAGUUAAUUCAGUGAAUUAGUAAAACUGAAUCAGUUCAUUCUAUACACAGCUUAGAACACACUGCUUUCACGAACUGUUUUAGUUUGACAAUAUAGCAUUAUUUAUCUUGCAAAAGCUCCUCUUACCAACUUGACUAUUUCUUGAGAGUUUGUGGUGCCUGUGGGGGAUAACUCCAGCUGAUUUUUUAAAAAAUAAAUCCUUAGUCUCUGUUUGUCUUUAAUUAGGAAUUGACCUACUUGAGUCAAAUCUUAUUCAAAAACUGCCAAAUGCAUUCAAAGAGACUGAAAGUGCAACUGGUAACCUAUUUGUCUCAGCAAAUGUGUGAUUUCAUAGAGCUACAGUUUUUUUUAAGUACAGCUUUAUAAAAUAUUUUCUCAUGCAAGAGAGACCCUCAAGUAGCUGUCAUCGCACAGCAGUGGGUAAAAGCAAGAAUUGAGUAGUUCCCUCAUCUCUUCUCUCACUAUAUAUUAAUAACUAGAGAUUAUUGAAGUCAAUUAGACUAACCACAUAGUUUUUGAAGUUGAUUUGACUCAACACAGCCGAUUCUUAAUUAAAGGCAGUCAGCUUUACUAGGUGAGCAUGUAACACUGUCUUUUAAGUCUUUGGGAAUAUCUGAAGAUGUCUUCUACUUAGUCCAGGUCCAUCUUGCUCAGUAUUGUCUGCAGCAGUGUUCUUCAACCUUGGGUCCCCUUGUUGGACUACAUCGCCCACCAUCACUGGCCAUUGGCUAAGCUGGCGGGGGAUGAUGGACACUGUGGUCCACCAACAUCUGAGGAUUCAAGGUUAAAGAACCUCCAGAUGUUGUAGGAUUCUAACUCCCAUCAGUCUCAACCAGCAGCAGGGUCAGGGAUGGUGGGAGCUGUAUUGUGACAAUAUCUAGAAGGAUCCCCAGCCAUGAUCUACGCCAGGCAUAGGCAAACUCGGCCCUCCAGAUGUUUUUGGACCACAACUCCCAUCAUCCCUGACCACUGGUCCUGUUAGCUAGGGGUGAUGGGAGUUGUAGCCCCAAAACAUCUGGAGGGCCAAGUUUGUCUGUGCCUGAUAUACGCUGACUGGUGUGGCUCUUCAAGGUUUCAGCUCCGCCCAGAGAUGCUGGAAAUUAGGAUGUGAGGGCGAUCUGGCUGCGACAUCUGUCACCCCAUUGAUCGCCAGGGUUGAGAUGCUGGAAAUUGAAUCUGAGACUUUAUGUAUGCAAAACAGAUUUUUGCCACUAGCUACACCCUUUCCUGUUUCCAAUUUUACAGUUUUUGAAGAAUAUGUGCAGAUUUUUCAGAAUUUAUACAGUUUUGUCAUUGAAAACCUGCACUGAAAAGGGAUGGAAUUAUUUAGCCACAUCCUGUGAUGAACUGGCUCAACAUCUACUAGGUCAGGCGGACGGGUCGGGUCUUGGAUCACUGUCUAAAUUUCCCAAACUGUAGCGUCACUUUAGGCCAUUUUGAGAAAUUAAAAUUGUGUUCUGGCCUUGACUAGGGUCACUAUGGUGAACCCUGCUGACUGAAAUUGGCAUGUGCUGAUGCCUGGCCUGAGUGGUGGACUGAUGGGGACAAUUAUAAUGGGAUUCUGUGAGAGCUGCUCCCUCUUUGUGUAGGGCACAAGAUUACAUCCCACCCCUUGGCCACAAACAUAAAUCCUUCCUGUAUUGAUUUUACUAUUUCAUAUUUGCAUCCAUUAUGUUCCUUGCAGUGGAGAAGCUACACACACACAAACACACCACAUAACUUCCAGUUGCAUAUUAAUAACUAACAGAGAUUUGCCCUCUCUUGGUCAACCUCCUUACAUCUCCAGCAUCUCCAGAAAAAUAGGUGUUGGUACUCAUCAGGUAGUUGUUACAGUAAGUGCCAUAUUUUUUAACAACAACAAAAAGGGGUGACGGUACUGUGUGCCCUUGAGGAAACACAUUGGCCACCAUCCCUUUACAUUUGAAACAGUUGCUCCAAAAGCAUACUUCCAUAUAUUGGGACCAAUGCACAGGAUAAAUUAAAAAAAAGUGUUAUAUAUACACAUACAUAAUUCUAUGUGCUAUUAAAUGUCACUACAGCAGAGUUCUGUGGAAAGAAUUAUUUGCUAUACUCAGACCCAGUCUGAAUAUAAGCUUUUCAACAAUCACAUGGCCUUUGGAGAUGCCUGUUGAACAUCAGUAACAUUUCAGAUUGGUUAUUUCAUUUUCUAAACUACCAUAUUUAGACACCCACAAAGCAAGAGGUUAAUCAUCCCGUAAAAUGAAUAUGUGUUAUAAAUUGCAGCCCAUUACAUAGAAUGAAGAUGGCAAAGCAAUAUAUUUGGAAAUAGUAACUGCUGAUUAUUAUGUAAGAUAUGUGGGGAAAGAGAAGAAGAAAAUAACCUACGUGUGAUCCAGUCACAAGCCAAGCUCUUUCAAAUAUGAUUUCAGUGGAAGAGAUUUAACUCUCUCCUAAGAAGUUGUCUUCUUGAUUUGGGGGUUUGUUUGUUUUUUGCUUCUUCAAAAUUUUGUACAGGCUGAUGUUCAGCAUGCACGCAUCCACAAAUCCCAGAAUGGAAAUGUGAAAUAGCUGGUGUUAAGGUCACAACAAAGAAUCUGCACCCAUUAACUUUACCUAAGUGAACCCUGCAGGGAUCCUUAACUUGCUCAAAAGGCUUCUGCCCUUUCUCCAUGGAUGAGACCACCUCAAUGUCAGGACAGAAAAUUAACUCAUUUGCAUCAUCCUGGAAGGUUGUAUUCAAUCAACUUUUCUUAAGAGCAGACCCAUCAAAAUUAAUGAAAUAAGUGUAGGAAUGGUCAUUCAUUUCAUUGGGUUUACUCUGAGUAAAAGUUAGUUGACUAUAACCCUCAGGCUGUAGGGAGCCUCCAUGAGUACAGUAGGCUCUGGACUUUGUACAUCCAGCCUCUAAUUCAUGGAAGGCAUCUGGAACAACAAUUGUGGGUAUAGAUAUUGCACUCAUAUCUGUGUCUUCCUCAUGUGGAAGGCUGAGGGAUAAAAUCGAUUUUGCUUGCAUUUUAAUUUGAAGCUACCUGAUUCACAAUUCUUGAACCAACAUAUGAACCAAAACACAGCCACCCUCCAAAACGUUCACUUAUCUAAAUUUUGCAAUGCAAUUCUCUAGCCAGUGUUUACAAAAAUGCAUAUAUUGGGCAAAAGGAGGAAAAAAAACUGAAAAUAAGUGUGAAAAUGAGAUACAAAAAUGCAUUCUAUUAUGGGAAAACAUACACAUUGGUCAAAACUGUAUAUAAAAAAACCCCAUGGGGUUUUUUUAAUAGAAAUGUGCUCUAAUAUGCUGAUGGAUUUUUCAUGAAGGUAAAUGUGGAGAACUGAUUUUAAGAUUGGAAAAUGAGAAAAUGAGAGAACUAAAAUUGACAGAUCCAUCCAUCUCUACUUCCAUGCUUUCUUUACAUGGUAUGCAAAUACCUGAAGGUUGUAAAACAACUGAACUAUAUCAUUGUCAUCCAGAAAAUGUUUCAUUUUAAUAAUGCUAGGCUGAAAAGAGAAAAUCACAUAGAUUUCUGAUUUAUAAACACUUCAACCUUCUUGCAUGAAAUGGACCAAAUAGUUUAUGUAACGCCAUUCCCCAAUGCCCAUGCUUUACUUGUGUUAUCCAGCUAAAUUAAAACUUUGAGUGAAAUGGAAUGCCCUGCAUUCUACCCCCCUUGCAUAUAUUGAGACAUAAUGCUUGCAUAAUGACACCACAAUUAUUGUAAGUGCAUCCCAGUGAACAUAACUUUAGCUGCAAGGGGACAUCCCGUUGCCUUUAAUUCAGCUCCCAAACAUCCAAGACUAAUUAAAAGCCUGCAUGGAAGAUUUAUGACAUAGAAGAAAAGGAUUUUCUCACAGCAAAAUCUGCCAAGCACAAUGGUAAGGAUUUGGAAUCUUUGGAACAAGAGAAGACAACACUGUACUAAAUGUUCUUUUGCUGCUCCCAAAGAACGAUGCUAAAUGCCCUUUUCAAGUACGUGACUUCAAUCAGAGGUUAUUGGGAGAGACAGAUGAAUAAAUUGGUAGAUGAAUGCAGAUCAUUUUCAAGUAGUUCUGACAAAGCUGAUAAUGUGGGCAGCUGAAUGUGCAUGCAAGGGAGAAUGUUGCACAUUUCUAAACCUUUAAGGCAGGAGAGGAGAACCUCAGGCCCAGAGGCUAAAUGUGGGGAAAAACCCUUGGCACUCUUCCCAGAUAACAUCUUCCAAGAUAACACCCUCCUUGAAUGCUUUUGUCUGGUUGGCAUGUGUCUAAAGUGUAAAAACUGUGAUAAUGCCUCUUGCUUGUCUGGAAGGAGGCAGACUAAAAUGUCGGUGAAAUUUUGUGAGGGUUUUUUUAUUUUAUUUAAUGCAAACUGAUGUGGAAAUAUGGAGCACAGAGGUCUAGACUGGAACAAAUAAGAAACAGAGAGAAACCAAGAUUGACAGAUUUGCCCAUCUCUACCUGGGUGCUGGUAAAGCACUGCACAGAAAGAAUCUCUUUGGGCUCCCAUUUGUUCUGGAUCUUGGCAAGUCAUUAUUUUUGUAAAAAAAACAACAGCUUCGAGGUUCUCCUUUAGAAAGCUCAAGAACUUAACUUUUGGGCUGUCCUGGUUUUUACUUUUUGAAAAUCAUGUCAACUUCUGCAGUGUAUUAAUCAACAUAAGUACACAUGUACAUAAGUAAAACACAAUAGAAAAAUAAUAUUGAUAUAAUCUUACAAACAAUGUUAUCAACCAUUAAUGAUAGAUCUGGAGGUACAAGAAACUUUAAGAAAACUGCAUUUACAUAAUACAGUUGUACCUUGGUUCUCAAACUUAAUCCAUUCUGGAAGUCCGUUCCAAAACCAAAGCAUUCUAAAACCAAGGCAUGCUUUCCCAUAGAAAGUAAUGCAAAACGGAUUAAUCCAUUCCAGACUUUUAAAAACAACCCCUAAAACAGCAAUUUAACAUGAAUUUUACUAUUUAACGAGACCAUUGAUCCAUAAAAUGAAAGCAAUAAUAAUGUACUGUACUAUAAAAUAAGAAAGACAGUAUUGUAGAUGAUAAAAAUUAAAAUUAUUAUUUUUUAUUACCUGCACGGAUGAUAGUCAUGAUUUGGAUGGGGGGCUUUUAUCCAUUUUCACAGUAACACAAUCAAUCAAUCAGUCAGUCAGUCAAUCAGUCAAUCAAUCAGUAGCUGAACUGGGUUCCACACAGUCACAAAAACAAAUUAACCAGAAAAGCCUCAAAAACAAAAACGCAAAAUAAAUAGCAAAAACAAAAGCGCCAGACUUAUUCUGUUCCAGAAGUUCGUUUGACUUCCGAAAUGUUUGAAAACCAAGGUGCAGCUUCUGAUUUGUGCAGGCGUCUUGAAAACAAUAGCCAACAACUGCAUUGGAUGUUCGGCUUCUGAAAAACGUUUGAAAACUGGAACACUUACUUCUGGGAUUUUGGCGUUUGAGAACCAAGGUAUGACAGUAUUGCAUUACAAAAUUCAGGCACCCCCCCCCCAAAGGGAACUAUGGAACAUUCCUGAUACCUCCAUUCUAUGCAAUUCUGAAAUACACAAUCAGAGGAGAAAGCUUGUUGAGAUUAUACUAUCUAAGAAGCACCCCUUAAGUGUGUAUUAAGUAUAGUUUAGCACUAGUAUGUUUCCCUUGGACAGCAAUAUAGGCAAAAGUUUGGGAAUCAUCCUUAAAGCAUUAUAAUAUUCCCAGUUUUGACAGAAGGGUUACUAAAGUAAAAGGAGUCCCUAUGUGUACACACACAAAUUAAAUAAAUAACCUCACCAACACCUGGUUCUGAAUACAGCAUUGCACCUUUUUUUUUGGGGGGGGGGUGCACCGAGUAUAUCCUCCUACCAGUAUUUUUAGCUGUCUUGAUAAUACAGCCACUCUCCUGCCUGGCAGCAUAAUUACAGCAAUCAACAUCUCAGUUCCAAGAAUCUGAAAUAACAAAGCUGAAGCUCUUUAUUUGUGGAAGAAAAUCUUGAACUGUCUCACAGAGGGGAGAGGCCUAGACUAGGGACUGACUGGUGGAAUAAAUCAGGACCUAUCUUGUAUGUCAAGAGAAAGAAGCUUCUGUUUGGAACUCUGUAUUGGAAAAAUAGUACAAUAAUUCACAAUACUUUUCUUUCUGUGUACACAACUCUGUCCACCUGCUCCCUCCGUUUCCUUCCUUGUAACCAGCGGUGAGGAGUCUUUUUUCAGCACAAAGGCCACAUUCCCUUGUGGACAAUCUUCUGAGGACCGUAUGUGAGUGGCGAGGCUAAGCUAGGCCACAGCCACCCAUCCAUACCUCUCUCUCCCCCAUCUAGGCAAGCAUUAUUGGAGUUCAAGGAUACAUUUCAGCCAGCCAAAAGCGCUCAGAAUGCAAAAUAGGUCUGCAACCUGGGUAAUGGCUGAGAGGUGUAGCCUGGGGAAAACUCCAAGGGCCAGAUAGAUGGGCCUGUGUUUCCCCACCCGUUCUCUACAAACACAGUUUUUCUUCCUCCAGGGGACUUUCUGAAAUCUGCUUUUUCACCUUAAAUAUAACACAAGUUGGUCUGAGUUGAUGGAGUGCUAACGCUGUGCUUUGUUGAGCAAGUCAUUUCCAGAGCACCUAUAUAUUAUUAAGCCUGAUUUGUUUGCACAAAGUUUGCCUGUUUACAUGAUACCAGCUGUGUAGUAUUUAUUCUGACUUGCCUGUCAGGAGGUUAGAUGAUGUUGCAUCAAGCAAGAGUGAUCCCACACUUUCCAGUGCAUCUUUCCCAUCACUCUCCUUAUUACCAAAAGUCCAUUUUGUGGGAUUACCAGUGUCAUAUAGCCAACAUGCUUAAGUCCAUAUACACAUUUAGAAAAAUACUCUGUGAUCACAAGUAACAAGCACUGGUUUCUUAACAACAAGUAAUGCCAGACUAACCUUAUUUCUUUUUAUCUUUAAUCAGUUGAGACACAUUAAGUUCUCAAGUGGAAGGGGAAAGGGGCCCUGCCAUGAUUUUCAGAUUAUAAAAUGGUCUGCUAAACAGACAAUUGGUUCUUCCUGAGCUGGCUAAGAACAUUUGCAUGUUUCCCUGGAAUUUCCAAGUUUUGAGCUUAGGAAAAUGCCUUAUAUUGAGCUCAACCAUUGACCCACCUAUCUCAGAAUUGCCCACGUUGACUGGGAGUGACUCUCCAUGGUUUUAGACAGGGGGCAUUUCCAGCCCUACCUGUAGAUGCUGAUGCAAAGCAGAUGCUAUGGCCCUUCCCCAGGUUGAUCAUUAUUAUGGCCUGGAGAUCAUCUGUCAUCACCAUGAUGACUCACCAUCUUCCUGGACCAGUCUGCAGCCCGCCUGUUUCUCCACCUGCUGCCUCUUAUUCUGCACAGACCAACAUCAUGGCUUUUGCCAUAGCUGGUGUAUUUUGAACUGUCCCUUCUGCAGAACCCCUUGAACCUCUGCCAAGUGGUCUGUGGAGCUUCUUGGCAAUGUCAGCAGAUGCUCAAGGCAAAAGUGUUCCGAUCACAUAGGUGACUUUGCAUCUUCAGAAUCCUAAGUCAGUCGCAGUGUAAUCCUGUACAUGUCUACUCAGAAGUAAACCGCAUUGUCUGCAGUGGGAUUUCCUCACCAGUUAAGUGUGCAUAGGAUUGCAGCCGUAGGCAUUUUUGGGUAACAUUAUAUAUGGAAAGCACAUGAAGCCAAUGACCGGGCAACAACGCCAGCCCCCUAGUAAAGUUGAGUUGAUAUUCACAUUUCCAAUUCCUAGUACGCUUCUCACUCUGUGGUUGGCUCAUUAUCUGCCCCAGUGGAUCAAUUAAUUUUUCUCCACCAUCUGUUAAGCCAGUUAUCGCUUCCCCUGGAUGCUGCCGCAGAUCUGCCACGUCCUUUAACAACAAAAGACUGUACAAACCAGAGAGGCAGCAGGUGAAGCUCCUGGUGGUUACAGUACAGUGCAGAAUGUCACUUAUUAUCCAAGGUGGAUGAAAGGAAAACCUAGUGAGUCUGGGGUGGGCAUGAGGCAUCACCUUGGAGUGACUCGAGCAUAAAACUGAGACAGCUGUAUUUCCCCGAUCUGUUUGAUAAAAACUGUAUUUAUUUCAACCACCUGCGUGCAACUCUUGGGUGUUGGUUGUGGUGUAGAAAUUAACUCCAUGCAAUUGUGAGGUUCUUUCACACGAGAAAUAUUCCCCACAUAAGGUAUUCCUUAUGAGAUGGGGCUACCCGAUAUUCAGGUGGGGCUUCAAGAAAAUGAGGUGGGUGGGGUGGGAAUCCACAGUAAAUGCCCCUCUCACAAAGGGAUUUACCAAAGAUUAAUGAUAUUACAUGCCUAUUUUCCACAUUAAUUGCCUAGCUGCAUCCAUUCUCUGGACAUCUCAGGCAAAUAGUAUCCACUCUCUGUAGUUUCAGAACAAAUGGAAGGGGCAGCAUUUUAUAUGUUAAAAAUAAUGAUACUGAAUUAGUCUUUAUUACAGAUUAAUUAAUCCCGAACAGUUUUGUCUCUUGCACCACCCACCACUGGCAUGAAGCUGCUGACAAAUUACCCCAAAGAGAAUGUGACCUUUGAUACGGAAAGGUUGUCCACCCCUUGCAUAAGGUUUAAGCUGUUGGAACAGCAACACAAAAAACCUUUGGUCAGGAAAAUAAUAAUAAUGUGGACUUUCCUAUACUUGUUACUGCCAAAGAAGUUUAGGUAGCACAUUUUUUAUUUUAAAAAUCUUUUGAAAUAUUAUGCUUUUAAUAAAAUUAAAACUGCAAAAUUUUGUCAUCUCUGUGUGCUACCACAGCUUCUUUGCAAGCUUCCAAAGGGACCUAAAAUUUGUCUCACUGUCACAUUUAAAAUACCGGUAUAUUAUUGCCCAAGCAUUAAUGAAUAUCUCUGCCUAGGCUGCUCUUUUGCAACUAAAGAAAUCUUAUGACACUUGUACAUACACAGGGAACCAAAGGAAUAAUUGUGUUGUCGUGUUUUCUUUCCUUACAAUAACAAAGAUGGCUUUUCACAUUAAGCACCAAAUGGCCUGUAAAAGUGGAGCAGAAAAUAAAGUAAACCUAAUUCUGUGGAAUGGCAAAAUCAGGCUGCACUUUCCUUGAAAAUAUAGGCUUUCCCCCUUCUUAAAUAUGUCACUUAGACUCAUCAAAGUGGCUUUUUCUGCCCCUGAAGUCCAAUUUUUUCAAAAAGCAAAACCAUGGAUUCAGUGAAGAAACCAAAUAUGAUAGGUUUCAGCGGGACUCUUCCCCUUUCAAUUUAUCUCUUCCUGGAAAUAAUGUGGUGUUCUUUUUGGAAAUGCUUGCACAGCCUUUUAAAAAUACACUCCAGCUGUGAAUCAUAGACAUUAUAGCCAGAGAAAGCCCUCUAAAUACACGGCAGCACAAUCCCAUCCCCCUGGUUAUAUAGGAUUGUUCACUAUGGUAUUUCACGCACAGUUGAACAUUCUUUCUCUAAGGAUUCAAGGCCAACCAGCACAUUCAAGAGAGGGGGAAUCAAGCAAUAUAGGCCUCAUGGGACUCAGCAACCUGAGAAUGUAGGUGUGGGGGAAAUCAUAUGUUUGCUCUAGUCUGAAGCUGCCAUUUUUUAUUUUCAUUUUCAAGGGGAACUUUGGGGUGCAGGACACUCCAUUUGCAUUCUGAAAUGGUCCAGAGUUCUUGAGUGGCCUGGAAGGAUGGAUCUGACAAGGAAGAAAGGCUCACAUAGCAGAAGAUGAAACAAAUAAGGUUGCUUCGCCACAUGCGUCUCAGAAUGGCUUACUGGUAGAACAAGGAGAUUUCGAAGGUGAUCAUGGAUCAUCAUAGGAAGUAGCAGCAGGUGAAGUUGCACCUGUUUGCACUGGCCUUUGAAGAAGAAGGUUGAGGUGAGAUGAAAUGAAAUGAUUGUUGUCACUUC
rnacentral:lncRNA from 1 species